CGCUUUGCGCGACAGCGCAAAGGCAGGCGGUUUCGCGUAGCGAAAGCGAAUGCUUUGGGGUGGGGUGACUGCGUACCUUUUGUAUAAUGGGUCAGCGACUUAUAUUCUGUAGCAAGGUUAACCGAAUAGGGGAGCCGGAGGGAAACCGAGUCUUAAUUGGGCGUUAAGUUGCAGGGUAUAGACCCGAAACCCGGUGAUCUAGCCAUGGGCAGGUUGAAGGUUGGGUAACACUAACUGGAGGACCGAACCGACUAAUGUUGAAAAAUUAGCGGAUGACCUGUGGCUGGGGGUGAAAGGCCAAUCAAACCGGGAGAUAGCUGGUUCUCCCCGAAAGCUAUUUAGGUAGCGCCUCGUGAAUUCAUCUCCGGGGGUAGAGCACUGUUUCGGCUAGGGGGCCAUCCCGGCUUACCAACCCGAUGCAAACUGCGAAUACCGGAGAAUGUUAUCACGGGAGACACACGGCGGGUGCUAACGUCCGUCGUGAAGAGGGAAACAACCCAGACCGCCAGCUAAGGUCCCAAAGUCAUGGUUAAGUGGGAAACGAUGUGGGAAGGCCCAGACAGCCAGGAUGUUGGCUUAGAAGCAGCCAUCAUUUAAAGAAAGCGUAAUAGCUCACUGGUCGAGUCGGCCUGCGCGGAAGAUGUAACGGGGCUAAACCAUGCACCGAAGCUGCGGCAGCGACACUGUGUGUUGUUGGGUAGGGGAGCGUUCUGUAAGCCUGUGAAGGUGUGUCGUGAGGCAUGCUGGAGGUAUCAGAAGUGCGAAUGCUGACAUAAGUAACGAUAAAGCGGGUGAAAAGCCCGCUCGCCGGAAGACCAAGGGUUCCUGUCCAACGUUAAUCGGGGCAGGGUGAGUCGACCCCUAAGGCGAGGCCGAAAGGCGUAGUCGAUGGGAAACGGGUUAAUAUUCCCGUACUUGGUGUUACUGCGAAGGGGGGACGGAGAAGGCUAUGUUGGCCGGGCGACGGUUGUCCCGGUUUAAGCGUGUAGGUGUGUGUUCCAGGUAAAUCCGGUUCACUUUAACACUGAGGCGUGACGACGAGGCACUACGGUGCUGAAGCAACAAAUGCCCUGCUUCCAGGAAAAGCCUCUAAGCAUCAGGUAACAUCAAAUCGUACCCCAAACCGACACAGGUGGUCAGGUAGAGAAUACCAAGGCGCUUGAGAGAACUCGGGUGAAGGAACUAGGCAAAAUGGUGCCGUAACUUCGGGAGAAGGCACGCUGACACGUAGGUGAAGUGAUUUACUCAUGGAGCUGAAGUCAGUCGAAGAUACCAGCUGGCUGCAACUGUUUAUUAAAAACACAGCACUGUGCAAACACGAAAGUGGACGUAUACGGUGUGACGCCUGCCCGGUGCCGGAAGGUUAAUUGAUGGGGUCAGCGCAAGCGAAGCUCCUGAUCGAAGCCCCGGUAAACGGCGGCCGUAACUAUAACGGUCCUAAGGUAGCGAAAUUCCUUGUCGGGUAAGUUCCGACCUGCACGAAUGGCGUAAUGAUGGCCAGGCUGUCUCCACCCGAGACUCAGUGAAAUUGAACUCGCUGUGAAGAUGCAGUGUACCCGCGGCAAGACGGAAAGACCCCGUGAACCUUUACUAUAGCUUGACACUGAACAUUGAGCCUUGAUGUGUAGGAUAGGUGGGAGGCUUUGAAGUGUGGACGCCAGUCUGCAUGGAGCCGACCUUGAAAUACCACCCUUUAAUGUUUGAUGUUCUAACGUGGACCCGUUACCCGGGUUGCGGACAGUGUCUGGUGGGUAGUUUGACUGGGGCGGUCUCCUCCUAAAGAGUAACGGAGGAGCACGAAGGUUGGCUAAUCCUGGUCGGACAUCAGGAGGUUAGUGCAAUGGCAUAAGCCAGCUUGACUGCGAGCGUGACGGCGCGAGCAGGUGCGAAAGCAGGUCAUAGUGAUCCGGUGGUUCUGAAUGGAAGGGCCAUCGCUCAACGGAUAAAAGGUACUCCGGGGAUAACAGGCUGAUACCGCCCAAGAGUUCAUAUCGACGGCGGUGUUUGGCACCUCGAUGUCGGCUCAUCACAUCCUGGGGCUGAAGUAGGUCCCAAGGGUAUGGCUGUUCGCCAUUUAAAGUGGUACGCGAGCUGGGUUUAGAACGUCGUGAGACAGUUCGGUCCCUAUCUGCCGUGGGCGCUGGAGAACUGAGGGGGGCUGCUCCUAGUACGAGAGGACCGGAGUGGACGCAUCACUGGUGUUCGGGUUGUCAUGCCAAUGGCACUGCCCGGUAGCUAAAUGCGGAAGAGAUAAGUGCUGAAAGCAUCUAAGCACGAAACUUGCCCCGA
rnacentral:rRNA from 1 species